rnacentral:rRNA from 1 species
UACGGAGGGGGCUAGCGUUGUUCGGAGUUACUGGGCGUAAAGCGCACGUAGGCGGCUUUGUAAGUUAGAGGUGAAAGCCCGGGGCUCAACCCCGGAAUUGCCUUUAAGACUGCAUCGCUAGAAUUGUGGAGAGGUAAGUGGAAUUCCGAGUGUAGAGGUGAAAUUCGUAGAUAUUCGGAAGAACACCAGUGGCGAAGGCGACUUACUGGACACAUAUUGACGCUGAGGUGCGAAAGCGUGGGGAGCAAACAGG